rnacentral:lncRNA from 1 species
UGCCUGGACCAAGUUAGAAAUUCAGUUCGUAUGAACCAAAAAAUAGAACCCUUAUUUACGGGUUGAAAACACAAAAAUGUAUACCUUGCACUAUUUGUGCAUACUUCUAAAUACAUAAUAAAAAUAUAAUCAGGCAGGGAAAUAAACUUACUCUGUGGGGGACUUCUAUUAUUCUAAUUUUGUUUUGAUUGAACUGAAAACGUGUUCUAUGGCUGAAUUUUGAGAGCUAUUUUCGAAAGGGGAUGGGAACUACCCUAAAAUGCGUUUACUCUAAACCUGUACAAAGAAGGAUAACUCUAUACCAAAAAAGUGAAACACUACAUUCCCCGCCUGAUUUUGACAUAACAAAAUCACUACAUUUAAAAAGAAACAAAC